rnacentral:tRNA from 1 species
AAUAUAUUGGCAGAAUAAAUGC